UACAGAGGGGGCAAGCGUUGUUCGGAAUUACUGGGCGUAAAGGGCACGUAGGCGGCCUGUUAAGUCGAACGUGAAAUCCCUGGGCUCAACCCAGGAACUGCGUCCGAUACUGGCAGGCUUGAAUUCGGGAGAGGGAUGCGGAAUUCCAGGUGUAGCGGUGAAAUGCGUAGAUAUCUGGAGGAACACCGGUGGCGAAGGCGGCAUCCUGGACCGAUAUUGACGCUGAGGCGCGAAAGCCAGGGGGAGCAAAGC
rnacentral:rRNA from 1 species